rnacentral:lncRNA from 1 species
UGCUCACUCAGUACCAAGUUUUGGUUCAAUGAAUGAAAGCAGGAAUGACAGAUAAUUCUGGCAGUUUGUAAAAUAUCUGUAGACCAAGACUUAUCUCUGUGAAAGGCCUUGCUGACACUGGAAUGAGUCGACAUGUCUACCAACUCAGAGGGAUAAGGAAAAGGCACUAUACUGCUGGGUCCUGAUAAGAGAAGAAGGUGUCUACAAUGCUGGAGUGGACAGCAGGCUGGAGGGAGAAUCAUUUUGAGAAAGCCCAUGUAUGCGGCAGGUGCAAGUCUCCCAGGUUUGCGGCCUGAGCUCGGCGGGCUGCUGGGUGCAGGGCCCUGGAGACCUCUGCUGGCUAUCUUUGCCCCCAGGGCUGAAUCCCUGACAACUUGAGAAGUGACAAACUGGUUGAAUUAAUUAAGUAGAUUCCAUAUCAACAUAAUUUUACCAGAAACAACAAGAGGAAUCAUCAAAGACCCUUCAGCAGAGCUGGCUGCUCCCAGUCCAUCCUCUUCAUCACACUUGGGCCCCCAAACCAUGAAAAGAAGUUUUCUCAAAAGAUGUGCAAAAGCUACUCACCAUAGCAAAGACAUGGAAUCAACCUAAGUGCCCAUCAACAGUGGACUGGAUAAAGAAAACAUGGUAUCUAUACACUAUGGAAUACUACACAGCCAUAAAAAAAAUAAUGAAAUCAUGUUCUUUGCAGCAACGUGGAUAGACCUGGGGGCCAUUAUCCUGAGAAUCAGUGCAGGAAUAGAAAACCAAAUAUUGCAUGUCAUCACUUAUAAGUGGGAGCUAAACAUGGGGUACACAUGGAAAUAAAGAUGGCAAGAAUUGACACUGGGGACUACUGGGGGGCGGGGCAAGGGCUGAAAAACUAACUAUUGGGUACAAUGCUCACUACCUGGGUGACAGGAUCAACCGUACCCCCAAACCUCAGCAUCGUGCAAUAUAUCUAUGUAACAAACCUGCACAUGUACCCCC